rnacentral:lncRNA from 1 species
CACAGCCUGCGUAUCCUAACAUGACCGAACAGCAUGCACCAGAGAUGCCCAGAGAUGUUGCACCUGAUCCUUGGGAGUGCUCUGAAUUUCUGGCUGCUUUUGGAGUCCCAGCAGUUGGGACCACACAAGUGGGAAGUGGAUACAGCGUCAUGCAGCUUACGUUUUUACAGAGAUUCCCACAUCCGCCAUUUGGGAAAGAAACAGGGAAGUGCAGAAAACUACUGAACUAUAGUGAAUUCCAGCAGCUGAGAACAAAGUCAGUCCAUAAAGAUGAAAGAGUUUCUGCUCUAAAGAGGAAAGUUUCAAGUUUUGUGGUUCAGAACCUCAGGACCAGGCUUCCAAGAUGACACGCAGAGCCGAAGGCCCAAAUUACAGGCCACUCCAAACACACAAGCUUAAAAAGCAGCCGCUCCCCUCUUUCAAAAAGUCCUCUGCAUCUUUUUGGUUUCUCUAAGAAUAAGCUGUUGAAAAUGGUAUUUUCUUACUGUGUUUACCCAAUCCCAGAUUUAUAAAAGCCAGGCAGCACCACGCAGCCGCAGCUGAAGUCUGAGUUUGCUUGGGUCAUGGCAGAGGACAGGGCAGACAUCCCGCACCGAGUCAGACCUGUGGGAUGUGGCACUCUCUCAAGCUCUGCCUGCAGCCCAAGCUCCAACCAUCAUCUCUUGAUGCCCAGCUGCAGUUGCUCAGUAUCCCUGAAAAUCAUGUGUUGCCUAAAUACACGUAAGGAGCUUAACUUUAUAUGCUUUGCCUUGAAGAACUGGCUUUUUUUUAGAUGACAAUCUGAAAGCUAUCAUAGCAUUUAAGCCCAAUAAUGAGAUUUUAUCUCUUGAUCAUAUUAGAUUAUGAUCUCUUUAGCAGUGCAAGCUGGGUUUCACCUAAGCAGCCUGAUGAGGCUCAGAUGCCUCACGCUAGCCUCGUGCUCAGCGGUGUUGCCCGAUGUGGAGAGCUGAGGAGGCUGAAACGCGGCAGGUAGCACGCGGGCAGGCCAAGUGGCUACAGGGAUCUGGCUGAUGCGGAAGUGGUGGUCGUGGCUUUGAUCCCUUCCCCUCUGACAUCCUCCCAAGACAUCCUCCCUGUGCUGGUGAAGGGCCUGAAGCGCAAGUCCUAUGAGGAGCAGCUGAGGGAACUGGGGUUGUUUAGUCUGGAGAAGAGGAGGCUCAGGGGCGGCCUUAUUGCUGGGGGUCUGCCUCUUCUCGCAGAUAACUAGUGAUAGGACUAGAGGGAAUGGCCUCAAGUUGUGCCAGGGGAGGUUCAGGUUGGAAAUAAGGAGACAUUUCUUCUUAGAAAGAGCAGUCAGGCACUGGGAGGUGUUGCCCAGGGAGGUGGUGGAGUCACCGUCCCUGGGGG